rnacentral:snoRNA from 1 species
GAGCGAGAUGAUGGCAUACCAUCUUUCGGGACUGAAACUUGAUGAUCCCUUUUUUUUUUCUGAUUGCUC